GUUCCUCUUAGCAUUAACUUUCUAUAACUUUGUUCACACGUUUUCACGCUUUUUAUUCUUUAUAAAGCAUUAUAAUAGGCUUGAUAAUAGCGUCAAACGUGUUACGCCGAGUGACUUUGUAACUUCAAGAAUGUUGGCUCUGAGCAGGAUUAAAUACCUGAGUACACAUUGAAACAGCUCUACAGAAAAACUACAAGCCCCUAUGAAAAGGUUUUCAGAAAUUGUUAAUCUCCAGAACAGAAAGAUACAUUAUCUUCACACCCAGCUAUAUGAGACACAAGCCAAAUAAAGGAUCCGGAGCCCUUCUCCGCUAAUCGGAAACAAAUGAAGUACUUCCUGGGUCAACUGUAUUUUAACCUUUACGGACCAAAUAAUUACUACCGUCGAAGAGAUAGCACUAGCCGUUCAAGGGUCAG